rnacentral:rRNA from 1 species
GAGUUUGAUCAUGGCUCAGGAUGAACGCUGGCGAGAUGCUUUACACAUGCAAGUCAUACGAGAGUUUUUAACUCAAGUGGCGGACGGGUGAGUAACACGUAAGAAUUUACCUUUAGGAGGGGGAUAACAACGAGAAAUUGUUGCUAAUACCCCAUAUGCUUUCGAGUGAAAUGGAUUUUUCCGCCUAGAGAGAAGCUUGCGCCUGAUUAGCUUGUUGGUAAGGUAAUGGCUUACCAAGGCGACGACCAGUAUCUGGUUUGAGAGGAUGAUCAGACACACUGGAACUGAGACACGGUCCAGACUCCUACGGGAGGCAGCAGUGGGGAAUUUUCCGCAAUGGGCGAAAGCCUGACGGAGCAAUCUCGCGUGAGGGAUGACGGCCUAUGGGUUGUAAACCUCUUUUUUCAGGGAGGAAUCAAAUGACGUGUACCUGAAGAAUAAGCAUCGGCUAACUCCGUGCCAGCAGCCGCGGUAAGACGGAGGAUGCAAGUGUUAUCCGGAAUCACUGGGCGUAAAGCGUCUGUAGGUGGUUUAG